rnacentral:ncRNA from 1 species
GUCUAAGUAUAAGCAAUUUGUACGGUGAAACUGCGAAUGGCUCAUUAAAUCAGUUAUCGUUUAUUUGAUAGUACCUUACUACAUGGAUACCCGUGGUAAUUCUAGAGCUAAUACAUGCUAAAAACCUCGACUUCGGAAGGGGUGUAUUUAUUAGAUAAAAAACCAAUGCCCUUCGGGGCUCUUUGGUGAUUCAUAAUAACUUGUCGAAUCGCAUGGCCUUGCGCUGGCGAUGGUUCAUUCAAAUUUCUGCCCUAUCAACUUUCGAUGGUAGGAUAGUGGCCUACCAUGGUGGCAACGGGUAACGGGGAAUUAGGGUUCGAUUCCGGAGAGGGAGCCUGAGAAACGGCUNNNNNNNN